UUGCAGACACAUUGAGCACUAAAAUUUCGAACGCACAUUGCGCCAUCGGGUUCAUUCCCGUUGGCACGUCUGGCUGAGGGUCAGAAUAUGGAAGUACGAUCUGCUUAUGUAUUACGGAAUGCUUAAUACAAGCUUCCAGUGGUGCAAUCGCUCACAAGAUGCAUUCGGCAGGCUAUGUUGGUAGUUGGCUAUAUAAUGAUUCCAGCAUACCCUGCCAAGUCUGUAUGCGACAAGUCGCUGUCCUUUGCUCAUGAAGAGGCGAAAAUGGCCAUUGCUGUGUUCCUUCACGAUAGGGCCUCCAGCAUACGUUGUUGUGUUUGUUGCUUGGUGACACAAAGGUUGGAAGGAACGUCGGCCGCUUGAAGGAGGAAUACGGAAUGGUUGACAUAAUUUU
rnacentral:rRNA from 1 species